rnacentral:tRNA from 1 species
CCGCCAUUAGUUCAGCUGGUUAGAGCGGCUGUCUUAUAUACAGCUUGUCCUGGGUUCAAGUCCUAGAUGGCGGACCA